rnacentral:misc_RNA from 1 species
GAUGAAGAACGUAGCGAAAUGCGAUACGUAAUGUGAAUUGCAGAAUUCAGUGAAUCAUCGAGUCUUUGAACGCACAUUGCGCCCCCUGGUAUUCCGGCGGGCAUGCCUGUUCGAGCGUCAUUUCAACCCUCAAGCUCUCCGGAGUUUGGUGUUGGGGCGCCUGGGGCUUUUCGACCUCAGGGCCCUCAAGUCCAUCGGCGGGACCGCCAGGACACUGAGCGCAGUAGUAUUAUUUCGCUCGGUAGGAUCUUCCACGGCGGGUCGAUCUGGCCGCUAAACCCCCCAAUUCUCACCAAAGGUUGACCUCGGAUCAGGUAGGAAUACCCGCUGAACUUAAGCAUAUCAAUAAGCGGAGGA